rnacentral:rRNA from 1 species
UAGGGAAUCUUCGGCAAUGGGGGGAACCCUGACCGAGCAACGCCGCGUGAGUGAAGAAGGUUUUCGGAUCGUAAAGCUCUGUUGUUAAGGAAGAACGAGUGUGAGAAUGGAAAGUUCAUGCUGUGACGGUACUUAACCAGAAAGGGACGGCUAACUACGUGCCAGCAGCCGCGGUAAUACGUUGGUCCCGAGCGUUGUCCGGACUUAUUGGGCGUAAAGCGAGCGCAGGCGGUUAGAAAAGUCUGAAGUGAAAGGCAGUGGCUCAACCAUUGUAGGCUUUGGAAACUAUUUAACUUGAGUGCAAAAGGGGAGAGUGGAAUUCCAGGUGUAGCGGUGAAAUGCGUAGAUAUAUGGAGGAACACCGGUGGCGAAAGAGGCUCUCUGGUCUGUAACUGACGCUGAGGCUCGAAAGCGUGGGGAGCGAACAGG